rnacentral:piRNA from 1 species
UGGGAGUCGCUCUUCCAUUUUAUGCUGCA